UGUUUCAACAGGAAGACCAGCCCUUGUGGUUGCACCUAUCUACUGCAGGAAGCACUGCAAAGGAAGUACAUUCCAUUACCUCUUUGUUGGUGCAACUUGCACAAAAAACAAAGCACCCCAGCAAAAGUUACACCUACUUUUGAUAAACCGCAUGUAGCAGCCCUGAUUUUACAGGCUAAGUUUAAAGAGCAAUAUCUUCAAUGUGGAAAAUUUUCUGCGCUUGGAAUAAAGACUGAAUUAUAUGUGAGAAGUUUAGUGGAGCAACAUUUAUAAAAUGGUUCUUCAUUUUGCUGUGAAGCUUCUCCACACUGUCACUCAUGCUGCAGAAUUUGUGCCCCUCUCUGUUGAACCAGUUGUGGAUGCUUUCAGCUCCCUGUUCCCCCAUGAGUCCAAAAGCCACACCAGGACCCCACUCUCUCAGCCAUGAGAUAGUGUGCUUCUCUAGCAUGUGAAGUUUGGGAGUGAUCGAUGCCGUAGGGAACCUUUCCCGGUAAUACUUCAUGAAAGAAGCAAUGUUGUUCUCUGAAAAUCAAAAAAGCUUGUUGUAACAUUAUCGACUCAUCAUUAUAAACUUACCGAGUGUGUCUACUUCAACGGGUGUUAUGUAGCGUUGAUCGUACAUACUAUGGCAUCUUGAAAAGAGAUCGAAAGCAACAGAAAACUUCCUGGAUGUUUCUACUGCUUUCUGGGAGACUGGUUGCGAGAAACGAAUGCCAAGUGUUCGAUGAACGUGGUUCCCAACAAAUGUUCCACUGUAAUACGCUUGACGAUGUACAUUGAAAGAAGCCAGAGCUGUGUCAAGUUCCUUAACAAAAGGCCCGUCAUGAAGCUUGAACCCUUUUGCAAUCUCUGCUUCAGCUAGGUGGUACUCUUUUGUCUGAAUUUUUCUGCUUUUUUGUUUAUAGCAUUCGCCUCAGUGAACAAAUCCACAAUUUGUGGAUCCUCUUCAGGGUCAUCUUCCUCGGAAAGAGUGAAGAGAAGUGUUAUCAGGUCAUGCUGGUUCUUGAGUUCAUCUGACAACCUGUCUUCACUAGCCACCAUCAUGUCCAGCUCAUGGCAUUCAUUCUCAAGGAGAGAAAAGAGCCGGUAGAAAAUGCCGAGGGAAAUAUGAAGGCCAGAUCUGCUCCAGCUGCAGUGAAGCGUUCAAAGUCCUGGCAAAUGCUUUGUGUGCUUCUGGCAGGAACACUCUGGGGUGGGUCUCGGAGCUGAUCAGAAGUAACCAGGCACCAAAUGCAGCAGUACUUUCCUGUUUUCAGAAGUUUUAGACUCCAGGUCUUCAAUCUGGUCUCUGUACCUCUUGAGAGCAAUUCUGAGGUUGACGGGGUUGUCAGACGCUUCAAACAUGCAGAACACACAGGUGUUAUUGGCCGCAUUAGGAUUCUCCACGUUGACGAUCUGGAAGGACAUCUUGAAGCUUCCUCCUCCUUUGUCACCCCCAAACUUGACCCACAAUUCAUCACUAGGGAUACGACCUUCAUGCCAGAUCCUUGACAUACGCCAUAGGAACAUUCCUAAUCUCAAUGGUAUUGUGACCAUCAUGGACAGGAAAGGUGAAUGGGGUUAACUCGGUACAUAGGUUCUCCCCUACGUACUGCUCCGAUUCUGCCCGCAUCUUCUUUUCUGAGGCUAUCUCGACUCCCCACUGCUUCAACCACCUGAUUCCAAUAAUGUGAAUAUGAAGUGCAGGUCCACCUUCAUUGCUAAAGCUUCCCUGGCAGGAAUCGAUAUCUUGAUACUCCCUUUCUCUCGGAGCUUAUCUAUGAGUGCCUGCCGUUUCUCCCGGCUGCUGGCAGUCACCUCAUUUGCCAGCUGAGUACACUCAUCCCCACCACUGAUCCUUUUCCUCUGAUGUCUAAGUUCAGAGGAACGACGCCGCACAGUCCGAGAACUUGCCUGCCCAGAAGGUACUCUAGGAGACCUGACUUGCAUUAGUGUGAUGGGCUAUUUGGUACAAGUACAUAAUAAUAAACAUGUGCAGUGCAUAUUGUAUUCAUUAUACCUGUCCUCCUGUCUGUAAUUGUAGUGUUUGAGAAUGUUCAGGAUCGGAUGACAGACUCCGUGUUACAAGAGAUGCCUGGAGUUUCUUCUCUGCUGGUGUUAGGGGUAUGUGCGACGGCUUUUUUAUCACAUGUGUGAUAUUUGUGGUCAGACUUCGAAUGAAGGCCAGGAUUGCUUCUGGAGGUUGCCUGACAGUGCAAAAAUCAGCCACAUGAUCAGCGCCACAACAGGGACAACAAAGGGAUUCGGCUUUUAGUAAGCUCUGGCAGCAGCAUUCAGCACAUGCGUACUUUUGGCACGUCGUGAGCUCAAUUGGUUUGUUAAGAAGUGAGGAGCACAACUCACAUUUUAAUUCAUCAGGAACAUUCAGUAUGUUAGCAGGGUCCAUGUCCGGUGUAACGGAAUUUGCUGCUAUUUCCCUUAUGUGUUUAAUAAUAGCCUGUGGAGAGAUGUUGGGUGGUCUGCCAGCUUUGAAGGGUUUCUUGGGUCUCCCUGCUUUUGAAAUAGCCGUGCACACUGAACACUGCUCGUUGUGCAUGUGAUCAACCCACUGGUGUAUUUGUAAGCUGGUGGGUUUGUAGUCUGUUUUAUUUGCUUUUGCACGCUUGGUGAAAUACAUUAUAUUUCUACAGGGAUGACAAUAGCAUUGAGGAUGGAUGGAGGGAUUAUCAGAGCUUAUAUGAAGACCAAAUGUGUCCAAUAGUUCGCUGGCAUUUUCUGAACACUGAUAUUUGGUAGUCCUUUUCCCUUUAGAGGCUAAGAGACUUUUCCCACACACUCUACACAGUCUCUCUAAGGCUGCUUUGUGCGCUUCUGUCAUUCCUGUGAAUUGUAAUGUAUAGUUUACGUUUUACAGCUGUUUCAUUGUACAUUUUAAUCAAUAUUUGAUGUUGCAUA